GGACUCUAUAAGUACUACCACUCCUAUCUGCGGACACAAAUCUGAAUCCUCCCUCUUACAAACGUCAAUAACACUCUCUGUUCUAUCCUCUUAUUAGUUCUGUUCUUCCACUUGAGUUCUCAUUCCGACAACAGAAACAAACAUAGAAGCAUCAUCUUAGAGAGCAUACAAAGCCUAGGGACUGUCUCCGGAGUUCCAUCUUCUACUUGGCCUACCUUUGAAGUUAACCAGAUUGUGUAUGUAUGUAUGUAAUUUUUUUUUUUUUUUUUGAUGAAAGAUGGAUAUGUAUAGGGUGUAGAUGAAAAUCGGUGACGUGUGUGUAGGGUGUGAGAGUGUGUGUGUGUAUGCGUAGAUGUAUGUAUAGGGUGUGAGAGAGACGGAGCGUAGAGAGCAACGAAGCAAACGAAAACACACACACGAAAACACAAAAAUGACUUACGAACCUAAUCGCCAAAGCCCAAACGAUCGUUAGACCCACAAAAUCGACUAACGCCAACUUAAUCUUGAAGACCACAAGCGCUAGAUGAAACACAUAAAUUUGGCUAACGCUAACUUAAUCGCCGAAGACCAAACGAUCUCUAGACGAAGCACAACGGUUACCUAGCAACAUACAAAAUUGACUCACACAAAAAUUUAGACAAACCCUCAUCACCGGAAACCAUACAAAUUAUACAUGAAUAAACCGCUAGACGAAACACACCAGAAUAAUUAGAAAAUGACAACUAAUAUAAACACACCAAAACGAAUGAACAUAUUAAAUUUUUUUUUGACACACAAAAAUGACAACUAUAAAGGAAAAAUAAUUAGAAAAAGCCAAAUUAAAAAUCUAUUCAUCAGCACUGAUCUCAUAAAUAAUAAAAAAUUUCGUCUAAUCCUGAUCAUGAAAAAGAUAAAGGAAAAAAAAUCACUAUCAAAAAUAUCAUCGAGGAACAUUUUAAAGUGGCUAAUCCACUUGAGAGAAACACAUGUGAAUCUCUCCCAAAAAUCUUAAAUUCUUUGUUUUUCGUCUUAGCUUCAAUAUUUUUUGGGUUUUAUUCGCCUUGCGACUUGGUUUGCCCGAACCGAACCGAGCUGGUUAUUUCGGUUUUUGGUUAUUUAAGACUUUGAAAAUUCUACCGGUUAUUUAAGACUUUGGUUCGGAUAUCGAUUAAUUCAGUUUUUGGUUUUAUUAAGAUAAUAACUUAUCAGCUCCUCAUCGGUCGGCUCUGUUUUGGUUUUUUUAGGGGGAAGUGAAACAGAGAGAGGAUUUAAAUUGUCGAAUAAAAAAAAACUUAAUUUAAAUUGAAAGGCUAAGAAGGAUCAUUCUUUUUAA